UAGGGAAUCUUCGGCAAUGGGGGGAACCCUGACCGAGCAACGCUGCGUGAGUGAAGUAGGUUUUCGGAUCGUAAAGCUCUGUUGUUAAGGAAGAACGAGUGUGAGAAUGGAAAGUUCAUGCUGUGACGGUACUUAACCAGAAAGGGACGGCUAACUACGUGCCAGCAGCCGCGGUAAUACGUAGGUCCCGAGCGUUGUCCGGAUUUAUUGGGCGUAAAGCGAGCGCAGGCGGUUAAAAAAGUCUGAAGUGAAAGGCAGUGGCUCAACCAUUGUAGGCUUUGGAAACUGUUUGACUUAAGUGCAGAAGGGGAGAGUGGAAUUGCAUGUGUAGCGGUGAAAGGCGUAGAUAUAUGGAGGAACACCGGUGGCGAAAGCGGCUCUCUGGUCUGUAACUGAAGCUGAGGCUCGAAAGCGUGAGGAGCGAACAGG
rnacentral:rRNA from 1 species